rnacentral:misc_RNA from 1 species
GAGUUGAGUUAACUUAGUUCACUAUAAUUAAGGACAUUUCUUGGAUCAAUUCUAUUAAACUUGUCCCAAGACAAAAGAUUGCAGAACAUACUGAAAACUAUGCAAAAGUUUCCACUGCUGGAGAAGCCAUAGUCUCGUUAGCUUAAUGAGCUGCACUCUCAUCAUGCUGGUUUAUUAGUGUGUUUUACCAUAUAUUUUUCUUGCAUAGUAUCUUCAGGUUGUUUUGAGCUUAUAUCUCAUUUUAUGAUUAUCCUCUUUAGUUCAUUUUAUCAACAGAUUUCUGAGUGUAAGAGAGAUAAACAAAGUGUGUGAUAUUGUUUAUUUUUGGUUUGUGAUAGCAGUUUACCUAUUUGUUUAGCAUUUAGAUGCCACAAGACUGGCUAAUUGGUCUCUUUGGGAUUCAAAUUGUAAUGUCCCUUUCAAUCAUUCCUUUGAAUUUGCCAUAUGUUUCUUUUGCUUUUUUAUCCCAUAUGAAUUAUUUGAAUAUGUACCAAUGCUGUUGUAUUUAACAAUGUCUUGUUUUUUUAGAAAAUCUAACGUGUAGGCAGCUGAAAUUUCCCAUCUUCAUUAGUCCAGUUCUUACUGUAAACUAGUGUGUGUUUUCAAGGAACUUUUGUGAUUUUCCAAGUUGAGCAUGUAUGUUUGGAACUUUUAAGUGGAUAACUGAAGUGACAUUGUGAUAUUGUUGGGUACCUAGGGCUUAGAUGAAUAAUGAUCAAAUAAAAUAACCAACGUAGGACUCUUCUAAAUUUAAAAGUAGAGGAACUGCCUCUAGCACUUCACUUGGCAUAAGGAGAAAACAUUUCUCUGGGUGGCAGAACUCAAACCAUAAACCAG